AAUUAUAAUAAGAUUGAGUUGUUGCAUAAACAUACUUUAUGAUCAAUGUCUAAGCAAAUAUUAAUGAAAAUUCAUUGAUACAUUGAGCUCAAUGCUUUGUGUCACGCAAACGUUUCCACUGCUAGGACUCCUACACUUUGCCUUCAAGUCUGUCUACUCUUUAGAAGGCGUAUUUGGAGGUGACCAAAUUUUGCAGCUCCAGGUGAAGAACCUUCAAACACAUAUGGUGAGAAUCCAGUGGCAGUUUUGUAUCUUUGCUGAAUCUCAACAAGUUGUUGGUUGCUUCUUAAACAGUUCCUCCCGAUAACACAAACAGUUCCACCAGAACCUCCACCUGUUAUCUUUGCCCCAAAUAAAGUCCCACCUUCAGAUUCUGAUGAUUUAGAGUGCUGCAUUUCUUGUACCAAGUUAACCAGCCUAUCUGUCCCAUUUGACGCAAGACCACAAGCACUGUAGCUGAGAUGGCACUGAUACAUUAACUCUCCAAGAGCAGAUAGUUGAUAAUUGGAAGGUGUAGCUGAUAAUAAUACUUUGAAAGCCUUGACUCGGAAAUUUUCAUAGAUGGGAUGCCUAGUGGGUGCUCUCACAGCAUAAUUGCGUUCUUUGUCAAUUGUAGUUACAGAAUCAUCAUGAUCAAGAUACUUCUCCACAAAUUCUUGUCCAG
rnacentral:misc_RNA from 1 species